rnacentral:rRNA from 1 species
UACAGAGGUCUCAAGCGUUGUUCGGAUUCAUUGGGCGUAAAGGGUGCGUAGGCGGCGCGGUCAGUCGGGUGUGAAAUCUCGGGGCUUAACUCCGAAACUGCAUUCGAUACUGCCGUGCUUGAGGACUGGAGAGGAGACUGGAAUUUACGGUGUAGCGGUGAAAUGCGUAGAUAUCGUAAUGAAGACCAGUGGCGAAGGCGGGUCUCUGGACAGUUCCUGACGCUGAGGCACGAAGGUCAGGGGAGCAAACGGG